rnacentral:rRNA from 1 species
AUUGAACGCUGGCGGCAGGCUUAACACAUGCAAGUCGAGCGGAGAUGAGGUGCUUGCACCUUAUCUUAGCGGCGGACGGGUGAGUAAUGCUUAGGAAUCUGCCUAUUAGUGGGGGACAACAUUCCGAAAGGAAUGCUAAUACCGCAUACGUCCUACGGGAGAAAGCAGGGGAUCUUCGGACCUUGCGCUAAUAGAUGAGCCUAAGUCGGAUUAGCUAGUUGGUGGGGUAAAGGCCUACCAAGGCGACGAUCUGUAGCGGGUCUAAGAGGAUGAUCCGCCACACUGGGACUGAGACACGGCCCAGACUCCUACGGGAGGCAGCAGUGGGGAAUAUUGGACAAUGGGGGGAACCCUGAUCCAGCCAUGCCGCGUGUGUGAAGAAGGCCUUAUGGUUGUAAAGCACUUUAAGCGAGGAGGAGGCUCUUUUGGUUAAUACCCAAGAUGAGUGGACGUUACUCGCAGAAUAAGCACCGGCUAACUCUGUGCCAGCCGCCGCGGUAA